rnacentral:rRNA from 1 species
UACAGAGGUCCCGAGCGUUUGUUCGGAUUCAUUGGGCGUAAAGGGUGCGUAGGCGGCGGGGCAAGUCUGAUGUGAAAUCCCGGGGCUCAACCCCGGAACUGCAUUGGAUACUGCCUUGCUUGAGUACUGGAGAGGGAACUGGAAUUUACGGUGUAGCAGUGAAUGCGUAGAGAUCGUAAGGAAGGCCAGUGGCGAAGGCGAGUUCCUGGACAGUGACUGACGCUGAGGCACGAAGGCCAGGGAGCAAACGGG